rnacentral:rRNA from 1 species
GACAGCAGUCGCCGCGGUAAUACGGAGGGUGCAAGCGUUAAUCGGAAUUACUGGGCGUAAAGCGCACGCAGGCGGUCUGACAAGUCAGAUGUGAAAUCCCCGGGCUUAACCUGGGAACUGCAUUUGAAACUGUCAGGCUGGAGUCUUGUAGAGGGGGGUGGAAUUCCAGGUGUAGCGGUGAAAUGCGUAGAGAUCUGGAGGAAUACCGGUGGCGAAGGCGGCCCCCUGGACAAAGACUGACGCUCAGGUGCGAAAGCGUGGGGAGCAAACAGGAUUAGAUACCCGCGUAGUCCCUGUCUCUUAUAC